rnacentral:rRNA from 1 species
GCUUAAUACAUGCAAGUUGAACGGUAACAGAUCCAGCAAUGGAUGCUGACGAGUGGCGCACGGGUGCGUAACGCGUAUGCAACCUACCUUUAACUGAGGAAUAGCUCCGAGAAAUCGGGAUUAAUCCCUCAUAAUAUUUUUGAAAGGCAUCUUUUAAAAAUUAAAGUUUCGACGGUUAUUGAUGGGCAUGCGUGGCAUUAGUUUGUUGGUGAGGUAACGGCUCACCAAGACAUCGAUGCCUAGGGGGCCUGAGAGGGUGAUCCCCCACACUGGUACUGAGACACGGACCAGACUCCUACGGGAGGCAGCAGUAAGGAAUAUUGGGCAAUGGACGAAAGUCUGACCCAGCCAUGCCGCGUGCAGGAUGACGGCCCUAGUGGUUGUAAACUGCUUUUAUACGGGAAGAAAAGUUCCAACGUGUUGGAAUGUGACUGUACCGUAUGAAUAAGCAUCGGCUAACUCCGUGCCAGCAGCCGCGGUAAUACGGAGGAUGCAAGCGUUAUCCGGAUUCAUUGGGUUUAAAGGGUGCGUAGGCGGAUCGGUAAGUCAGUGGUGAAAUCCUCUCGCUUAACGGGAGAAUUGCCGUUGAUACUAUCAAUCUUGAGUACACUUGAAGUGGGCGGAAUGUGUCAUGUAGCGGUGAAAUGCAUAGAUAUGACACAGAACACCGAUUGCGAAGGCAGCUCACUAAAUUGUAACUGACGCUGAGGCACGAAAGCCAGGGGAGCGAAGAGGAUUAGAUACCCUCGUAGUCCUGGCCAUAAACGGUGCACACUUGGUGUGGGAGGUUUUAUCCCCUUCCGUGCCGGAGCCAACGUGUUAAGUGUGCCGCCUGGGGAGUACGGCCGCAAGGCUAAAACUCAAAGGAAUUGACGGGGGCCCGCACAAGCGGUGGAGCAUGUGGCUUAAUUCGAUGCAACGCGAAGAACCUUACCAGGACUUGACAUGCCCGUCAUACCUGCCUGAAAGGGCGGGGUCAUUUAGUUGGACGGUGCACAGGUGCUGCAUGGCUGUCGUCAGCUCGUGCCGUGAGGUGUUGGGUUAAGUCCCGCAACGAGCGCAACCCUUGUCUCUAGUUGCCAUCUGGGAGCGAUCCGCAGGGCACUCUAGAGAGACUGCCGGUGACAAGCCGGAGGAAGGUGGGGAUGACGUCAAGUCAGUAUGGUCCUUAUGUCCAGGGCUGCACACGUGCUACAAUGGGAAGUACAGAAGGAAGCCAAGCCGCGAGGUGGAGCCAAUCCUCAAAACUUCCUUCAGUUCGGAUUGGAGUCUGCAACUCGACUCCAUGAAGCUGGAAUCGCUAGUAAAGGGGCAUCAGCUACGGCCCCUUGAAUACGUUCCCGGGCCUUGUACACACCGCCCGUCACAUCAUGGAAGCUGUCUGCUCCCGAAGUCACCGUUUCAACC